rnacentral:rRNA from 1 species
CGUAGGUGGUCCUUCAAGUCAGAUGUGAAAUCUCCCGGCGUUAACUGGGAGCGGUCAUCUGAUACUGCUGGACUUGAGGGUGGUAGAGGGAGGUGGAAUUCCCGGUGUAGUGGUGAAAUGCGUAGAUAUCGGGAGGAACACCAGUGGCGAAGGCGGCCUCCUAGGCCAUUCCUGACACUGAGGCGCGAAAGCGUGGGGAGCGAACAGGAUCAGAUACCCUGGUAGUCCACGCCCUAAACUGUGGAAACUAGGUACAGGGAGUAUCGACCCUUCCUGCGCCGUAGCUAACGCGUUAAGUUUCCCGCCUGGGGACUACGGUCGCAAGACUAAA